GCGGAAGUGGCGAAAUGGCAGACGCACCAGACUUAGGAUCUGGCGCCGCAAGGCAUGAGAGUUCGAGUCUCUCCUUCCGCA
rnacentral:tRNA from 12 species